rnacentral:rRNA from 1 species
AGCGAACGCUGGCGGCAGGCCUAACACAUGCAAGUCGAACGAACCUUUCGGGGUUAGUGGCGGACGGGUGAGUAACACGUGGGAACGUGCCUUUAGGUUCGGAAUAACUCAGGGAAACUUGUGCUAAUACCGAAUGUGCCCUUCGGGGGAAAGAUUUAUCGCCUUUAGAGCGGCCCGCGUCUGAUUAGCUAGUUGGUUGAGGUAAUGGCUCACCAAGGCGACGAUCAGUAGCUGGUCUGAGAGGAUGAUCAGCCACAUUGGGACUGAGACACGGCCCAAACUCCUACGGGAGGCAGCAGUGGUGAAUCUUGCGCAAUGGGCGAAAGCCUGACGCAGCCAUGCCGCGUGAAUGAUGAAGGUCUUAGGAUUGUAAAAUUCUUUCACCGGGGACGAUAAUGACGGUACCCGGAGAAGAAGCCCCGGCUAACUUCGUG